rnacentral:lncRNA from 1 species
UUCCUUACAACCCAGAUGCAAGAUCCAAAUGAGAGUUUUAUCAUUUUGGGGAAUGGGGUUAGAGUUCCUAUAACAGCUGUUGGAACCUAUCGUUUGUUUUUGAAUACUGGUUGUCAUUUCGAUUUGCUUCAGACUCUUUAUGUUCCUUCUAUUUCUAAAAAUUUGAUUUUUGUUUCUAAACUUGAUGUUGAAGGAUAUUUCUUUAAAAUUGGGAAUGGUAGUUUGCGUCUUUUCAAAGACAAUCUCUUCAUUGGUUCUGGUGUCUUGUGUGAUGGUUUAUAUAAAGUAAAUCUUGAUAAUCACUUUGCUGAAACUCUUAUGACCUUGCAUCGUAAUAUUGGAAUUAAACGAAACCUGAUAAAUGAAAGAUCUUCUAACUUGUGGCAUAAAAGAUUGGGUUAUAUAUCUAAAGAAAGGUUAAAGAGAUAAGUAAAGGAUGGAAUUUUGUCAAACUUAGAGUUUACUGAUCUUGAUAUGUGUGUAGAUUGCAUUAAGGGAAAGCAAACCAAACACACAAAGAAAGUUGCCACAAGAAGUGAAGAACUUCUUGAAAUUAUCCAUACAGACAUUUGUGGGCCUUUUGACUCCCCAUCAUUUGGUGGAGAGAAGUAUUUUAUCACCUUUAUUGAUGAUUUUUCACGUUAUGGUUAUGUCUAUUUGUUGCAUGAAAAAUCUCAGGCAGUGGAUGUCCUAGAGGUAUACAUUACUGAGGUUGAAAGACAAUUAGAUAGAAAGGUGAAAAUUGUCAGGUCUGAUAGAGGUGGUGAAUAUUAUGGUAGGUAUGAUGAAACAGGACAACACCCUGGCCCAUUUGCUAAACUCUUAGAAAAGCAUGGCAUACGUGCUCAAUACACUAUGCCAGGAACGCCACAGCAGAAUGGAGUAGAUGAAANNNNNNNNNNNNNNNNNNNNNNNNNNNNNNNNNNNNNNNNNNNNNNNNNNGUUACCCAUAUCGUUGUGGAUGGAAGCCCUUAAGACUGCUGUAUACAUAUUAAACCGGGUUCCUAGUAAGGCAGUUCCAAAAACUCCUUUUGAGUUAUGAACAGGAAGGAAACCGAGUUUAAGACACCUGCAUGUUUGGGGUUGUCCAGCGGAGGCCAGAAUUUAUAAUCCACAUGAAAAGAAAUUGGAUUUUAGAACGAUUAGUGGAUACUUUAUAGGUUAUCCCGAAAAAUCUAAAGGGUAUAGGAUUUACUGUCCUAACCAUAGUACGAGAAUUAUAGAGACCGGUAAUGUCAAAUUCAUUGAGAAUGGUGAAACCAGUAGGAGUGAUAAACCACAAAAUGUGAAAAUUCAAGAAGUUAGGGUGCAAGUCCCUUUACGCAUGACUUCUAAGAAAAUUGUUGUUCCUACAGUUGUCACACAGUUUAAUAACAAUGAACAAUAAAUUAAUGAUCAAACACUCCAUAAUGAAGUUAUCACCACUGAACAAGUUGUAGAAGAACCACAAGGGAUGACAUUAAGGAGAUCUGAAAGAGAAAGAAGAUCUGCCAUUCCAAAUGAUUAUAUGGUUUAUCUACAAGAAUUUGAUUUUGAUAUAGGGACAAGAAAAGAUCCGGUUUCUUUUAAACAAGCCAUAGAAAGUGUUGAUUCUACUAAAUGGAUUGAUGCCAUGAAAGAUGAGUUGAAAUCAAUGGAUCAGAAUGAAGUCUGGGAUGUCGUUGAUUUGCCCGAAGGUUGUAAAACAGUUGGGUGUAAGUGGGUCUUUAAGACCAAGCUCGACUUAUUUAUGCAGAGGUCCUCAAAAUAUGUUAAUUUAGUCCCUAUAAAACAUAUUAUUUAUGCAGAGGUCCUUGUGGGGUGAUGUGAUAAAAAUUUUCAAUCAUUUAUUUUACAUUUUAGUAUACUUGAUAGCAUGAUAUGACACAUGUACUGAUUGUGUAGAUUAGUAAAAUAUUAAAUACAAGUUUUAUUUUAAUUUGUCAUAUUAUGAAUUGUCAAUUAUGUGCAAUGUCAUUAUUUUAAUUUGAUGUCUAUAUUAUGAAAUAGUUUGGUAGUUGCCAAAGUAACCCAACUAGAAUGUUUAAUAGACAUCAAGUCAUCAAAUACUCUAAUCCCAGGUAUUAAGAUAAUGACUUUGCAAAUUAUGACUUACAGUUUUUCAAUCAUGAGAUAUUAUGGAUUGGCCCAAAGGUGCACCACUUUCAAAUGAUUGAUUUGCUGAGUUAGGAUAAUUAAUGAGUAUCCUUGAUUUAAUAGGUAUUGGAUGCUCAAAGGCAACAGACCUAUUUGAAUUUUGGACCUAUAUCAUUAAUUAUUCCUAGGUGAAUUGGGAAUCACCAUAAUAGUAAUUUAGUGUUUCAUAAUUACUACCCAAAGGUGUAUUAUGGUAACACUGUUUAUGUUAUUCAUCAUUAUUGCUAACUCAAAGUGUUAAUGUUGUAAGCAUUUUCUUAUUGUUAAUUUUCUUAUUGCAGUAUCUAUUCCUGUUUCGCUUCAUUCGCAAGCUUCAUCUGUUACGAUCUUUAAUGGAACUAAUUUCUCAGAGUGGAAUGAACAAGUCCAGUUUCACCUAGGUGUUCUGGAUCUUGAUUUAGCACUCCGAUCUGAGAAACCGGCUGACAUUACUGAUUUGAGCAGCUCGGAAGAAAGAUCUUUUAUAAGACUUGGGAAAGAUCGAACAGAUUGAGCAUUAUGUUUAUGCGGAUGAGUAUAGCGAACAAUAUCAAGUCAACGCUUCCUGAAUGUGACAGUGCUCAAGCAUUAUUGAAACUGUGGAAGAACGUUUCCGAUCUGCUGAUAAGUCUCUGGCUGGGACAUUAAUGGCUAAACUUACCACCAUGAUGGUACUUGUGGGAUGCAUGAGCAUAUCCUUGAAAUGACAAAUAUAGCUGCUAAGCUGAAGGCUCUUGGGAUGUGAAUGAAUCCUUUUUAACUUUGCCUAUCAUUUCAAAUUCACUAUAACACUAUUAAGGAUAAGUGGAAUGUGAAUGAAUUGACCAGUAUGCUUGUCAAGAGGAGACAAGACUUAAGCAACAAGGAUAUCAUUCUGUCAAUCUUGUAAGUCAUGGAGCCAAGAAGAAAUGGAAGAAGCCAAGAAAGGGCAUGAAGAGUGGACCAUCCAAGGGUAAAGAGCCUCAUCAUGAACCGAGGUUCAUAAGAAGAAACAAAACAAAGAUAGAUGCCAUUUUUGCAAGAAAUUGGGACACUAUCAGAUGGACUGCCAUAAACGCAAGGCACCAAAUGAGAGUUUUAUCGUUUUGGGGAAUGGGUUAGAGUUCCUGUAACAGCUGUUGGAACUUAUCGUUUGCUUUUAAAUACUGGUUGUCAUUUAGAUUUGCUUCAGACUCUUUAUGUUCCUUCUAUUUCUAGAAAUUUAAUUUCUGUUUCUAAACUUGAUGUUGAAGGAUAUUUCUUUAAA